UAAGCUGAUGUAUUUUAUCAGUUUUCGCGGUUUUCAUCCGGUAUAAAGUCUAAAAAACCAGUGUCGAACUUUCGACGGUUUUACCUGUGGAAUUCUGUCGAAAAUUCUACAUCCACUUGAAUCAUCACCAAACAGUCAGAAAAACGCCUAGUUUCGUGAUUAAAAGCGUAGGGUGAACUGGAUCGAACCUUUAUUUCAUUAAAUCAUUAUAAUUUUAGCGUAUUUUUAAUCAACUGUAACCGAUUAAUUGCAUUGUAGCUCAAGCGGUGGCAGAAAGCGCGGUUUUUUUCGGUAUCACAGCUGGAGCUGGCAGAGAGCCGCGCCCACUCUAGCAAAACAUAAUUCAAGUAGCCGGCUCGCGCAAUGUAUAUUUUUACGUGUUCCGUCCACCUGCUGACGGUCUCAGGUAAAGUCAGGCUACCCUGAGCCUGAGCAGCGUGGGAAGAGAGAGUUCUGCGUGUCUGUUGUGCGCCAGAGAGCAUAUGUGAGCGAUUGAAGCUGUACACAUUCACAUCCUUCCUGAUGUUCAUGACGGAUAUGUGACAGGCGGACAACGUCAGACAGACAUUUUGGUCUAAGCGGGCGCGAGAUUCAGCGGCAGAAAAAUUAUUUAAGCGGAAGAAAUCGGCCUCGGACGCCCUUCGAACCUUAUCAUUUAUGGUUGGGAAGCAUCAGUUUUGAUUUGAGACCUGGGACAUUGGAGAGUGGCCGGCGAGGAUGACGUCGUGUUCGAAAACUUAUAAUUUAUUUUCUUGCAUAUUAUGGAGUUUUCAUCUGAUUCAUCAUAUUUGUCUUAUUUUAUAACUUCCAGUCGAAUCAUGUAUUUUUCGCAUUUCAUUUUGCAUUUCUGCUAUUUAAUAUUGUUAACCUUAUCGUAGUUAAUUUUUUCUGGAAGUUUUUAACUGACGCGUUCUUUUUAAUCUUCUUCCUAUUGUUCGUAAUAUAUUUAUGAUGGCAUUCAUGCAGUGAAAUUUUGUUUACCUGCUGAGGUAUCAAAAUAAGCAGCAUUUUAAUUGGUUAAUUUAAUAUUUAAGUUAUUUAGAGCAAAAAACUUUACACGUUCAAUCAAUUCAAAAUAAUAUCUGAUAUAAUAGAUAGUGGUAUUCCAAGUUUCGAAGCUCAGGAAUAGGGGCGUUCUCAAUUUUCGUUUGUUAAAAAAAUCUCCGAUGAACGAAAUUUGUUAAUUAAAGCUGCACUAACUCUUAACUACGUAGAGAUAUCGCACUAGAAUUGUCACUGCCCAGCCUAGUUUUCGAUCUUAAACAACUUUUACAUUUGCAAACACUUCGCAGGUCGAAGGUCAAGGUCACCUUUCGCAACCUUUUCUCGGAAAUUCAAAAUUUAUGGUUUAUAUCUCCCUUAGAUUUUUGUGAGGUUUAGGGCCUAAAUGUAGUCCGUGAAAUUCUGCACAAAGCUCACCAAGUUUCAUAGUUGUAAUGCCGACAGUUUUGCUGCAAUUGGAAUUUUAAAAUUAAAAACCAGCUCGAGGCCGCUCGACCGCGCA